rnacentral:rRNA from 1 species
AUUGGACGCUGGCGGCAUGCCUUACACAUGCAAGUCGAACGGCAGCACGGGUGCUUGCACCUGGUGGCGAGUGGCGAACGGGUGAGUAAUACAUCGGAACAUGUCCUGUAGUGGGGGAUAGCCCGGCGAAAGCCGGAUUAAUACCGCAUACGAUCUACGGAUGAAAGCGGGGGACCUUCGGGCCUCGCGCUAUAGGGUUGGCCGAUGGCUGAUUAGCUAGUUGGUGGGGUGAAGGCCUACCAAGGCGACGAUCAGUAGCUGGUCUGAGAGGACGACCAGCCACACUGGGACUGAGACACGGCCCAGACUCCUACGGGAGGCAGCAGUGGGGAAUUUUGGACAAUGGGCGAAAGCCUGAUCCAGCAAUGCCGCGUGUGUGAAGAAGGCCUUCGGGUUGUAAAGCACUUUUGUCCGGAAAGAAAUCCUUGGCCCUAAUACGGUCGGGGGAUGACGGUACCGGAAGAAUAAGCACCGGCUAACUACGUG